GGGCCCAUAGCUCAGCGGUAGAGCGGUCGGCUCAUAACCGAUUGGUCCCUGGUUCGAAUCCGGGUGGGCCCA
rnacentral:tRNA from 2 species